rnacentral:rRNA from 1 species
UACAGAGGUCUCAACCGUUGUUCGGAUUCAUUGGGCGUAAAGGGUGCGUAGGCGGCGGGGUAAGUCAGGUGUGAAAUCUCGGGGCUCAACCCCGAAACUGCACUUGAUACUGCCUCGCUUGAGUACUGGAGAGGAGACUGGAAUUUACGGUGUAGCAGUGAAAUGCGUAGAUAUCGUAAGGAAGACCAGUGGCGAAGACGAGUCUCUGGACAGUUACUGACGCUGAGGCACGAAGGCCAGGGAGCAAACGGG